rnacentral:rRNA from 1 species
GAUGAACGCUGGCGGCGUGCCUAAUACAUGCAAGUCGAGCGAACGGACGAGAAGCUUGCUUCUCUGAUGUUAGCGGCGGACGGGUGAGUAACACGUGGAUAACCUACCUAUAAGACUUGGAUAACUUCGUGAAACCGGAGCUACUACCGGAUAAUAUUUUGAACCGCAUGGUUCAAAAGUUAAAGACGGUCUUGCUGUCACUUAUAGAUGGAUCCGCGCUGCAUUAGCUAGUUGGUAAGGUAACGGCUUACCAAGGCAACGAUGCAUAGCCGACCUGAGAGGGUGAUCGGCCACACUGGAACUGAGACACGGUCCAGACUCCUACGGGAGGCAGCAGUAGGGAAUCUUCCGCAAUGGGCGAAAGCCUGACGGAGCAACGCCGCGUGAGUGAUGAAGGUCUUCGGAUCGUAAAACUCUGUUAUUAGGGAAGAACAUAUGUGUAAGUAACUGUGCACAUCUUGACGGUACCUAAUCAGAAAGCCACGGCUAACUACGUG